UACAGAGGGUGCGAGCGUUGUCCGGAAUCACUGGGCGUAAAGGGCGCGUAGGCGGCUUGAUAAGGUUGCGGUGAAAGCCCGGGGCUCAACCCCGGGUCGGCCGUGGCAACUGUCGAGCUGGAGCACUGUAGAGGCAGGUGGAAUUCCGGGUGUAGCGGUGGAAUGCGUAGAGAUCCGGAAGAACACCGGUGGCGAAGGCGGCAUCCUGGACCAAUUCUGACGCUGAGUGAGCGAAAGCCAGGGGAGCAAACAGG
rnacentral:rRNA from 1 species